rnacentral:rRNA from 1 species
AUUGAACGCUGACGGCAGGCCUAACACAUGCAAGUCGAGCGGAUGAAGGGAGCUUGCUCCUGGAUUCAGCGGCGGACGGGUGAGUAAUGCCUAGGAAUCUGCCUGGUAGUGGGGGAUAACGUCCGGAAACGGGCGCUAAUACCGCAUACGUCCUGAGGGAGAAAGUGGGGGAUCUUCGGACCUCACGCUAUCAGAUGAGCCUAGGUCGGAUUAGCUAGUUGGUGGGGUAAAGGCCUACCAAGGCGACGAUCCGUAACUGGUCUGAGAGGAUGAUCAGUCACACUGGAACUGAGACACGGUCCAGACUCCUACGGGAGGCAGCAGUGGGGAAUAUUGGACAAUGGGCGAAAGCCUGGUCCAGCCAUGCCGCGUGUGUGAAGAAGGUCUUCGGAUUGUAAAGCACUUUAAGUUGGGAGGAAGGGCAGUAAGUUAAUACCUUGCUGUUUUGACGUUACCAACAGAAUAAGCACCGGCUAACUUCGUG